CCUACGGGAGGCAGCAGUGAGGAAUAUUGGUCAAUGGGCUUACGCCUGAACCAGCCAAGUCGCGUGAGGGAAGACUGCCCUAUGGGUUGUAAACCUCUUUUGUCAGGGAGCAAUUGGCGCUACGUGUAGCGUUAUCGAGAGUACCUGAAGAAAAAGCAUCGGCUAACUCCGUGCCAGCAGCCGCGGUAAUACGGUGGAUGCGAGCGUUAUCCGGAUUUAUUGGGUUUAAAGGGUGCGUAGGCGGAAUGCCAAGUCAGCGGGAAAAUCGCGGGGCUCAACCUCGCUCCGCCGUUGAAACUGGCGUUCUUGAGUUGGCGAGAAGUAUGCGGAAUGCGUGGUGUAGCGGUGAAAUGCAUAGAUAUCACGCAGAACUCCGAUUGCGAAGGCAGCAUACCGGCGCCCAACUGACGCUGAAGCACGAAAGCGUGGGUAUCGAACAGGAUUAGAUACCCCAGUAGUC
rnacentral:rRNA from 1 species